rnacentral:lncRNA from 1 species
AAUUACUGUGUUUAUGAGCAACCCUAAAAGCUGAAAGUGUGCAGAAGCAGUGUAUAAGCAUGACCCUGGCUAUGACCCCUGCUGCCGUGUGCCAAUGCUUCACUCUGGUGUCGCUCUGCACCUCCAUCGCAGACCCCAACUGGAUCCAGAUCCAGAACCGCACUGAUGCAAACAACAAGCUGAUGUACGGUGUGGCCUUCACACUGCACGCCUACCAGAACCGCACAGACACAGGUCCUCUCGGAGGGCUAAAUGGAUGGGGAAUGUGGCUGCUGUAUGUGCUGACCGCUCUCUGCUACAGCGCCGUCCUGUUGUCCAGCUCUUCGUUUCUGCUGGAUUUCCUCAAAGCUGCGGUCAGUCAAUCCAGACUGAUUACAACACUGCACGUCUCUACAGGUGCGCUCAAUACACCUUCCACAAUUAACUACACAAUAAACUGUACUUGCUUAUUUCCUAGCAUACACUUUCUCUCAUUUCUUUUUAGCACUGAACUGUGGGGCAGUGGUGGGUGUGUGUGUGGCCUGUGUGUGUGUGAUCAAACACAAUCUGCAGCGAGGGAAGCACGUCUCGCUGUUAAACCGCACUGA